GAUGAACGCUGGCGGCGUGCCUAAUACAUGCAAGUCGAGCGAACAGACGAGGAGCUUGCUCCUCUGACGUUAGCGGCGGACGGGUUAGUAACACGUGGAUAACCUACCUAUAAGACUGGGAUAACUUCGGGAAACCGUAGCUAGUACCGGAUAAUAUAUUGAACCGCAUGGUUCAAUAGUUAAAGACGGUUUUGCUGUCACUUAUAGAUUGAUCCGCGCCGCAUUAGCUAGUUGGUAAGGUAACGGCUUACCAAGGCGACGAUGCGUAGCCGACCUGAGAGGGUGAUCGGCCACACUGGAACUGAGACACGGUACAGACUCCUACGGGAGGCAGCAGUAGGGAAUCUUACGCAAUGGGCGAAAGCGUGACGGAGCAACGCCGCGUGAGUGAUGAAGGACUUCGGAUCGUAAAACUCUGUUAUUAGGGAAGAACAAAUGUGUAAGUAACUAUGCAAGUCUUGACGGUACAUAAUCAGAAAGCCACGGCUAACUACGUG
rnacentral:rRNA from 1 species